rnacentral:rRNA from 1 species
AUUGAACGCUGGCGGCAUGCCUUACACAUGCAAGUCGAACGGUAACAGGUCUUCGGAUGCUGACGAGUGGCGAACGGGUGAGUAAUACAUCGGAACGUGCCCGAGAGUGGGGGAUAACGAGGCGAAAGCUUUGCUAAUACCGCAUACGAUCUCAGGAUGAAAGCAGGGGACCGCAAGGCCUUGCGCCCACGGAGCGGCCGAUGGCAGAUUAGGUAGUUGGUGGGAUAAAAGCUUACCAAGCCGACGAUCUGUAGCUGGUCUGAGAGGACGACCAGCCACACUGGGACUGAGACACGGCCCAGACUCCUACGGGAGGCAGCAGCGGGGAAUUUUGGACAAUGGGCGCAAGCCUGAUCCAGCCAUGCCGCGUGCAGGAUGAAGGCCUUCGGGUUGUAAACUGCUUUUGUACGGAACGAAAAGACUCUGGUUAAUACCUGGGGUCCAUGACGGUACCGUAAGAAUAAGCACCGGCUAACUACGUGCCAGCCGCCGCAGUAACAC